UACGGAGGGUGCAAGCGUUAAUCGGACCUACUGGGCGUAAAGCGCACGCAGGCGUUCUGCCAAGUCGGAUGUGAAAUCCCCGGGCUCAACCUGGGAACUGCAUCCGAAACUGGCAGGCUAGCGUCUUGUAGAGGGGGGUAGAAUUGCGGGUGUAGCGGUGAAAUGCGUAGAGAUGUGGAGGAACACCAGUGGAGAAGGCGACUCUUUGGCCUAUAACUGACGCUGAGGCGCGAAAGCGUGGGGAGCAAACAGG
rnacentral:misc_RNA from 1 species